GAUGAACGCUGGCGGCGUUCCUAAUACAUGCAAGUCGAGCGAAUGGAUUAAGAGCUUGCUCUUAUGAAGUUAGCGGCGGACGGGGGAGUAACACGUGGGUAACCUGCCCAUAAGACUGGGAUAACUCCGGGAAACCGGGGCUAAUACCGGAUACUAUUUUGAACUGCAUGGUUCAAAAUUGACAGGUGGCUUCGGCUGGCACUUUGGGAUGGACCUCGGUGGCAUUAGCUAGUUGGUGAGGUAACGGCUCACCAAGGCAAGGAUGCGUAGCCGACCUGAGAGGGUGAUCGGCCACACUGGGACUGAGACACGGCCCAGACUCCUACGGGAGGCAGCAGUAGGGAAUCUUCCGCAAUGGACGAGAGUCUGGCGGAGCAACGCCGCGUGAGUGAUGAAGGCUUUCGGGUCGUAAAACUCUGUUGUUAGGGAAGAACAAGUGCUAGUUGAAUAAGCUGGCACAUUGACGGUACCUAACCAGAAAGCCACGGCUAACUACGUGCCAGCAGCCGCGGUAA
rnacentral:rRNA from 1 species